rnacentral:rRNA from 1 species
AUUGAACGCUGGCGGCAGGCUUAACACAUGCAAGUCGAACGAGUGGCGGCCGGGUGAGUAAUGCUUGGGAAUCUAGCUUAUGGAGGGGGAUAACUACGGGAAACUGUAGCUAAUACCGCGUACCAUAGGAUGAGCCCAAGUGGGAUUAGGUAGUUGGUGAGGUAAAGGCUCACCAAGCCGACGAUCUCUAGCUGGUCUGAGAGGAUGACCUGCCACACGGGGCCUGAGACACGUCCCAUACUCCUACGGGAGGCAGCAGUGGGGAAUCUUGCGCAAUGUGCGCAAGCUGACGCAGCCAUGCCGCGUGAAUGAAGAAGGCCGUCGGGUUGUAAAGUUCUUUCGGUCGCGAGGCGUUAACUACAGAAGAAGCACCGGCUAACUCCGUGCCAGCCGCCGCGGUAAUAC